rnacentral:lncRNA from 1 species
GUAGAUAUAUACAGUAGGUACAGUAGGUAGAUACAGUAGGAUCAGUAGGUAGAUACAGUCGGUACACUAGGUACAGUAGGUUAAGUAGGUACAGUAGGCACAGUAGGGGAAGUAGGUAGAUACAGUAGGUACAGUAGGUAGAUACAAUCGGUACACUAGGUACAGUAGGUUAAAUAGGUACAGUAGGCACAGUAGGGGAAGUAGGUAGAUAGAGUCGGUACAGGAGAUGCAGUAGGUACCGUAGAUACAGUAGAUACAGUAGGUAGAUACAAUAGGUACAGUAGGUAUAGUAUGUAGAUAGUAGGUGAAGUAGAGGCAGUAGAUACAGUAGGUCCAGUAGAUAGAUAGUAGGUGAAGUAGAGGCAGUAGAUACAGUAGGUAUAGAUUCAGUAGGUACAGUAGAUAGAUACAGUAAGUGCAUUAGGUAGACACAUUAGCUACAGUAGGUACAGUAGGUACGGUAGGGAAAGUAGGUAGAUGCAGUAGAUACAGUAGGUACAGUACAUAGAUACAGUAGCUACAGUAGGGGAGGUAGGUAGAUACAGUAGGUGAAGUAGAUACAGUAGAUGCAGUAGGUACAGUGGGUAGAUAAAGUAGGUAGGUACAGUAGGUAGAGAUUCAGUAGGUACAGUAGAUAGAUAGUAGGUGAAGUAGAGGCAGUAGAUACAGUAGGUAUAGAUUCAGUAGGUACAGUAGAUAGAUACAGUAAGUGCAUUAGGUAGACACAUUAGCUACAGUAGGUACAGUAGGUACGGUAGGGAAAGUAGGUAGAUGCAGUAGAUACAGUAGGUACAGUGGGUACAGUAGGUACAGUACAUAGAUACAGUACAUAGAUACAGUAGCUACAGUAGGGAGAGUAGGUAGAAUCAGUAGGUGAAGUAGAUACAGAAGGUACAGUAGAUGCAGUAGGUACAGUGGGUAGAUAAAGUAGGUAGGUACAGUAGGUAGAUACAGUAGGUACAGUAGAUGCAGUAGGUACAGUAGCUACAGUAGAUACAGUAGGUACAGUAGAUGCAGUAGGUACAGCAGCUACAGUAGAUACAGUAGGUUAAGUAGGUACAGUAGGUACAGUAGAUAGGUUAAGCAGAUACAGUAGGUACAGUAGGGAAGUAGAUACAGUAGGUGAAGUAGAUACAGUAGAUGUAGUAGGUACAGUAGGUGAAGUAGGUAGCUAAAGUAGGUGGAGUAGAUACAGUAGAUGUAGUAGGUGCAGUAGAUACAGUAGACACAGUAGAUAACGUAGGAAGGUACAGUAGAUACAGUAGGUAGAUAACAUAGGAAGGUACAGUAGAUACAGUAGGUAGAUAACAUAGGAAGGUACAGUAGAUACAGUAGGUAGAUAAAGUAGGAAGGUACAGUAGGUACAGUAGGUGAAGUCAGUACAGUAGGUGUGGUAGAUACAGUAGAUAGCUAAAGUAGGUAGGUACAGUAGGUUCAGUAGGUAAAAUAGGUUGUACUUCAAUAAUUUAUAAUGUCAAGACAUGUUCGUUUAUAACCAAAUAUGGAGUGUCGUUGAGCAACUAUCUUAAUUUACUGCCAUCA